AGCACGGGAGCAAUCCUGGUGGCGAGUGGCGAACGGGUGAGUAAUGUAUCGGAACGUACCUUUCAGUGGGGGAUAACGUAGCGAAAGUUACGCUAAUACCGCAUAUUCUGUGAGCAGGAAAGCAGGGGAUCGCAAGACCUUGCGCUGAUUGAGCGGCCGAUAUCAGAUUAGCUAGUUGGUGAGGUAAAGGCUCACCAAGGCGACGAUCUGUAGCGGGUCUGAGAGGAUGAUCCGCCACACUGGAACUGAGACACGGUCCAGACUCCUACGGGAGGCAGCAGUGGGGAAUUUUGGACAAUGGGGGCAACCCUGAUCCAGCCAUGCCGCGUGAGUGAAGAAGGCCUUCGGGUUGUAAAGCUCUUUCAGCCGGGAAGAAAUCACAUGGGUUAAUACCCUGUGUGGAUGACGGUACCGGAAUAAGAAGCACCGGCUAACUACGUGCCAGCAGCCGCGGUAAUACGUAGGGUGCGAGCGUUAAUCGGAAUUACUGGGCGUAAAGCGUGCGCAGGCGGUUUGUUAAGAUAGGCGUGAAAUCCCCGGGCUCAACCUGGGAACUGCGUUUAUGACUGGCAGGCUAGAGUAUGGCAGAGGGGGGUGGAAUUCCACGUGUAGCAGUGAAAUGCGUAGAGAUGUGGAGGAACACCGAUGGCGAAGGCAGCCCCCUGGGCCAAUACUGACGCUCAUGCACGAAAGCGUGGGUAGCAAACAGGAUUAGAUACCCUGGUAGUCCACGCCCUAAACGAUGUCAACUAGGUGUUGGGUGGGUAAAACCAUUUAGUACCGGAGCUAACGCGUGAAGUUGACCGCCUGGGGAGUACGGCC
rnacentral:rRNA from 1 species